rnacentral:siRNA from 1 species
UUUAAUCAUUGUGCCUGCUAC